CACGGGGCGCGUGCACGUAGAUCUUAUAAAGCCCUCAGUCACUUCCGCUCGCUCUCUUUUUCAUUUGGACUCUGAGGAGGACAGGUGUGGAUAAGUCACCAUGCCGGUUGCCCGCACUUGGGUGUGCAGUAAGACGUACGUCACUCCACGUCGUCCCUUCGAGAAGUCUCGUCUUGACCAGGAGCUCAAGCUCAUAGGGGAGUAUGGUCUGAGGAAUAAGCGUGAGGUCUGGAGGGUGAAGUUCACUCUGGCUAAAAUUCGUAAAGCUGCUAGAGAGCUGCUCACUCUGGAUGAGAAGGAUCCCAGGCGUCUCUUCGAGGGUAAUGCCCUGCUGAGGCGUUUAGUGCGCAUUGGUGUGCUGGACGAAGGGAAGAUGAAGCUCGAUUAUAUCUUGGGUCUGAAGGUGGAGGACUUUCUGGAGCGCAGGCUCCAGACUCAGGUCUUCAAACUCGGCCUGGCCAAGAGCAUCCAUCAUGCCCGUGUCCUCAUUCGCCAGAGACACAUCCGCCCUUGCUGAGCACAAGUGAAAUUUCUGCAAGGUCAAUUCGGCACUGAGCCGUAUACCUUUGCCUGUGUUAAUGUGUCGAGCCCCGAGCUGGGUGUAUGGACCGGAACCAUUUGCAGACAUCAGUGUUCGUAAGCAGGUGGUGAACAUCCCAUCUUUUGUGGUGCGCCUAGACAGUCAGAAGCACAUUGACUUCUCCCUGCGCUCUCCAUAUGGAGGAGGACGUCCCGGCCGUGUUAAGAGAAAGAACGCUAAGAAGGGCCAGG